CAGCAGCCGCGGUAAUACGAAGGGGGCUAGCGUUGUUCGGAUUUACUGGGCGUAAAGGGCGCGUAGGCGGACUGAUAAGUCAGGGGUGAAAUCCCAAGGCUCAACCUUGGAACUGCCUUUGAUACUGUUUGUCUUGAGUUCGAGAGAGGUAAGUGGAACUGCGAGUGUAGAGGUGAAAUUCGUGGAUAUUCGCAAGAACACCAGUGGCGAAGGCGACUCUCUGGUCUGUAACUGACGCUGAGGAGCGAAAGCGUGGGGAACGAACAGGAUUAGAUACCCCGGUAGUCCCUGUCUCUUAUAC
rnacentral:rRNA from 1 species